ACCUGGUCAAGCUGUUGGACUCACCUGUUCAGACAACAUCAGGUUGGUGGGAGAGGCCAGCCGAUGUGCCGGGAGACUGGAGAUGUUAUAUCAAGAAGAGUGGAGACCAGUGGAUGUUAUGGAUCAUUACUGGAACAUGAACUCAGUUGUUGCAGUUUGUGCUGAACUGGACUGUGGUUCUGCUGUUUCAGCAAGAGAUUCAGAAGAAGCUUCAGUGAGACCAGUUUGGGAGAUCAAGUCUGACUGUUUGCAGUCAGGUUUUGAAGAAAAGAAAUGUUUACCUCAUGAUGAAAACAAUAAUAAGAGCCACGAGUUCAUCUGCUCAGACUCAGUCAGGCUGGUUCAAGGGACCAACCGGUGCUCAGGCAGACUGGAGGUGAAGACCAACCAGUCGUGGUCCUCAGUGUGUGAAAAAGACUUUGACCUGCAGGAUGCAGAGGUGGUCUGCAGGGAGAUUGGCUGUGGGCCUCCUUCA